rnacentral:rRNA from 1 species
AUGGGUUUUGCAAUUGGAAUGAGAACAAUUUAAAUCCCUUAACGAGGAUCAAUUGGAGGGCAAGUCUGGUGCCAGCAGCCGCGGUAAUUCCAGCUCCAAUAGCGUAUAUUAAUGUUGUUGCAGUUAAAAAGCUCGUAGUUGAAUUUCUGGAUCUAAUUCCUGGUCCGAGGCCUUGUGUCUUGUGUACUUUGAUUCUAUUAGAUCCAUCUUAGUAGUGAAUGUUACUGGCAUUAAGUUAUCGGUAGCAGGAGCUGCUUCUUUUACUGUGAAUAAAAUAGAGUGUUUAAAGCAGGCAUUACGCCUUGAAUACUUCAGCAUGGAAUAAAAAAAUAGGACUUUGGUGCUAUUUUAUUGGUUUGCACACCAAGUAAUGAUUAAUAGGGAUAGUUGGGGGUAUUCAUAUUUGAUUGUCAGAGGUGAAAUUCUUGGAUUUAUGAAAGAUGAACUUAUGCGAAAGCAUUUACCAAGGAUGUUUUCAUUAAUCAAGAAC